UUGAAGAGUUUGAUCAUGGCUCAGAUUGAACGCUGGCGGCAGGCCUAACACAUGCAAGUCGAACGGUAACAGGAAACAGCUUGCUGUUUCGCUGACGAGUGGCGGACGGGUGAGUAAUGUCUGGGAAACUGCCUGAUGGAGGGGGAUAACUACUGGAAACGGUAGCUAAUACCGCAUAACGUCGCAAGACCAAAGAGGGGGACCUUCGGGCCUCUUGCCAUCGGAUGUGCCCAGAUGGGAUUAGCUUGUUGGUGGGGUAACGGCUCACCAAGGCGACGAUCCCUAGCUGGUCUGAGAGGAUGACCAGCCACACUGGAACUGAGACACGGUCCAGACUCCUACGGGAGGCAGCAGUGGGGAAUAUUGCACAAUGGGCGCAAGCCUGAUGCAGCCAUGCCGCGUGUAUGAAGAAGGCCUUCGGGUUGUAAAGUACUUUCAGCGGGGAGGAAGGGAGUAAAGUUAAUACCUUUGCUCAUUGACGUUACCCGCAGAAGAAGCACCGGCUAACUCCGUGCCAGCAGCCGCGGUAAUACGGAGGGUGCAAGCGUUAAUCGGAAUUACUGGGCGUAAAGCGCACGCAGGCGGUUUGUUAAGUCAGAUGUGAAAUCCCCGGGCUCAACCUGGGAACUGCAUCUGAUACUGGCAAGCUUGAGUCUCGUAGAGGGGGGUAGAAUUCCAGGUGUAGCGGUGAAAUGCGUAGAGAUCUGGAGGAAUACCGGUGGCGAAGGCGGCCCCCUGGACGAAGACUGACGCUCAGGUGCGAAAGCGUGGGGAGCAAACAGGAUUAGAUACCCUGGUAGUCCACGCCGUAAACGAUGUCGACUUGGAGGUUGUGCCCUUGAGGCGUGGCUUCCGGAGCUAACGCGUUAAGUCGACCGCCUGGGGAGUACGGCCGCAAGGUUAAAACUCAAAUGAAUUGACGGGGGCCCGCACAAGCGGUGGAGCAUGUGGUUUAAUUCGAUGCAACGCGAAGAACCUUACCUGGUCUUGACAUCCACGGAAGUUUUCAGAGAUGAGAAUGUGCCUUCGGGAACCGUGAGACAGGUGCUGCAUGGCUGUCGUCAGCUCGUGUUGUGAAAUGUUGGGUUAAGUCCCGCAACGAGCGCAACCCUUAUCCUUUGUUGCCAGCGGUCCGGCCGGGAACUCAAAGGAGACUGCCAGUGAUAAACUGGAGGAAGGUGGGGAUGACGUCAAGUCAUCAUGGCCCUUACGACCAGGGCUACACACGUGCUACAAUGGCGCAUACAAAGAGAAGCGACCUCGCGAGAGCAAGCGGACCUCAUAAAGUGCGUCGUAGUCCGGAUUGGAGUCUGCAACUCGACUCCAUGAAGUCGGAAUCGCUAGUAAUCGUGGAUCAGAAUGCCACGGUGAAUACGUUCCCGGGCCUUGUACACACCGCCCGUCACACCAUGGGAGUGGGUUGCAAAAGAAGUAGGUAGCUUAACCUUCGGGAGGGCGCUUACCACUUUGUGAUUCAUGACUGGGGUGAAGUCGUAACAAGGUAACCGUAGGGGAACCUGCGGUUGGAUCACCUCCUU
rnacentral:rRNA from 2 species